CAAUAGCGUGUAUUAAAGUUGUUGCAGUUAAAAAGCUCGUAGUUGGAUUUCUGGUGGGAGCGAUCGGUCUGGCGCUUAGCGCGAGUACUUGCAUCGUCUCCGGCCAUCCUUGGGGAGAGUCUGUCUGGCAUUAGGUUGUCGGGCAGAGGAUCCUCAUCGUUUACUGUGAAAAAAUUAGAGUGUUCAAAGCAGGCUUAUGCCGUUGAAUAUAUUAGCAUGGAAUAAUAAGAUAGGACUUUGGUACUAUUUUGUUGGUUUGCGCACCAAAGUAAUGAUUAAUAGGGACAGUUGGGGGCAUCCGUAUUCCGUUGUCAGAGGUGAAAUUCUUGGAUUUACGGAAGACGAACUACUGCGAAAGCAUUUACCAAGGAUGUUUUCAUUAA
rnacentral:rRNA from 1 species